rnacentral:rRNA from 1 species
AUUGAACGCUGGCGGCAGGCCUAACACAUGCAAGUCGAGCGGAUGACGGGAGCUUGCUCCUUGAUUCAGCGGCGGACGGGUGAGUAAUGCCUAGGAAUCUGCCUGGUAGUGGGGGACAACGUUUCGAAAGGAACGCUAAUACCGCAUACGUCCUACGAGAGAAAGCAGGGGACCUUCGGGCCUUGCGCUAUCAGAUGAGGCGAGGUCGGAUUAGCUAGUAGGUGAGGUAAUGGCUCACCUAGGCGACGAUCCGUAACUGGUCUGAGAGGAUGAUCAGUCACACUGGAACUGAGACACGGUCCAGACUCCUACGGGAGGCAGCAGUGGGGAAUAUUGGACAAUGGGCGAAAGCCUGAUCCAGCCAUGCCGCGUGUGUGAAGAAGGUCUUCGGAUUGUAAAGCACUUUAAGUUGGGAGGAAGGGCAGUAAGCUAAUACCUUGCUGUUUUGACGUUACCGACAGAAUAAGCACCGGCUAACUCUGUGCCAGCAGCCGCAGUAAAAC